UACGGAGGGUGCGAGCGUUGUCCGGAAUCACUGGGCGUAAAGGGCGCGUAGGUGGCGCGAGGAGUCUGUGGUGAAGGCCCGAGGCUCAACUUCGGGUCGGCCGCGGAUACUCUCGUGCUGGAGGGUGGUAGAGGCCAAUGGAAUUCCGGGUGUAGCGGUGGAAUGCGUAGAGAUCCGGAAGAACACCGGUGGCGAAGGCGGUCUGCUGGGCCAAGACUGACGCUGAGGCGCGACAGCGUGGGGAGCAAACAGG
rnacentral:rRNA from 1 species